GACGAACGCUGGCGGCGUGCCUAAUACAUGCAAGUCGAACGAGAGCGACCGGUGCUUGCACUGGUCAAUCUAGUGGCGAACGGGUGAGUAACACGUGGGUAUCCUGCCCAUCAGAGGGGGAUAACAUCCGGAAACGGAUGCUAAAACCGCAUAGGUCUUCGAACCGCAUGGUUUGAAGAGGAAAAGAGGCGCAAGCUUCUGCUGAUGGAUGGACCCGCGGUGCAUUAGCUAGUUGGUGAGGUAACGGCUCACCAAGGCCGUGAUGCAUAGCCGACCUGAGAGGGUGAUCGGCCACAUUGGGACUGAGACACGGCCCAAACUCCUACGGGAGGCAGCAGUAGGGAAUCUUCCGCAAUGGACGCAAGUCUGACGGAGCAACGCCGCGUGAGUGAAGAAGGUUUUCGGAUCGUAAAACUCUGUUGUUAGAGAAGAACAAGUGCUAGAGUAACUGUUAGCGCCUUGACGGUAUCUAACCAGAAAGCCACGGCUAACUACGUG
rnacentral:rRNA from 1 species